rnacentral:lncRNA from 1 species
CGCACCCUUGCUCCCCUAUGCCUGUGAUCGCCAUAAUUUUCCUAUGAAAAAUUCUAGUGAUUGCCUGUUUCCUGGCAAAUCCUAAUAAUCACCAUAUGAAAAUUUCUUGCGAUUACCAUAUUUUGUGGCAAAUCCUAAUGAUCACCAUAUGAAAAAUUGUGGUAAUUAUUAUGUGUUUUGGCAAAUAAAUUUGAUUACCAUGUUAAAAUUUUUUGCGACUGCGGCCGGGAGGACUUUUUAAAAUUCCUCCUAAGACUUCUCUUACCGGGAUCAAGAUGUAAGCAGCAACACAGAAUAAUCUUAUUUAUGCUAAUAUCCUUUUAAAUUAGUCGUGCCCCUAUGUGACUAUCAGAUAAGGGUGUAUAUAGGUUGGGUUGGUUCGGAUUGUAU